UUUGCCUGGGGCAAAAUGCAUAGACAUACAUCAGAUGUGUUUUUUGUUUAAAUUGGCUUGUAUAUCAGUGUGACUGUGCAGGGAGGAAGCUUUUAAAGGUAGUACUGNAUUUGUUUCUUAAAAAGAGCCUUAAUCAAGCCUUCCAUUUAAAGUUAUACAAGAUGCCAUGGAAGGCUAAUUAAUAGUAUGACCGAAAGAACUGGAAUUAGUAAGAAUAACAAAAAUCAUACAGGAAGAUUUCACAAUGGGGUUUUUGCCUGACUGGAUGGUUGAUUCUGAUCUAUCUGUAAUCCAUUUUAAGUAUAAACUGAAUUAUGCAAAAUAAGAUUCUGAUCUUACAGCUCUUAUGCACGGCAGGUAAGGAGAAGGCACAUCCACCUCAGCCCAUACAGUUGUUUCCAGGAGCAAAAGAGAAUGAAAUAUGUAGAAUGGGCUUCUUCACCACCACCACCAACACCACCAUCAUCAUUAUUGUUGUUGUUCUGGCAAAUAUUCUUUUUCUCUUCCAUCCAAGUGACUGUCCACACAGAAGCACAGAUCAGUUUAGGUCAGGCUACGUUGUGAGCAGCUCCCAUGAUGCAUCCCACAAUCAGCUUUCAAUGCAUUCCAAAGUGCCAUUUCAGGAGUCUCCAAACUACCUUAAAAUAGCCCGAAAAUGUCUUUUCUUACUGUGUGUCAUUCCCAAGUUUCACUGGUUUUGAUUUACUUUGGGUGUUAUGGGCAUUACUACGAACACAUCUAUAGUAGGUGUGCAUACACAUAACACGCAAAGGACAUGUAUCUCUGGACUUUGGACUAUACAGCUGUAUGGGUGUUCUAACCAUGGCUUGCUCGUGGAAGGCAACUUGAAAGCAUUAUAAAGGAAAAGCCAUCUUGGAAGAAAAGACAAACCCCAUUUUGAAAUUGAGACUUUUUUCCUUCACACCUCCAUCUUCAUUUUAAGACAGAAGAAGUUUUCUGUAGACUGGAAAACCCUAGAAGCAUGUUGCAGGAGCACCUGGACUCUGCUUUUGUUUUGUUAACAUUGUCUUCACACUUGGCACAAUGCUCUUAGCGCAGCAAUGCUCUUUAAACUUCUCUUAGCAGUACCCUUGCCAUUGUGUCACACCAUUGUAACUUUGCUUUUUAUCUUUGAACCUGCCUGAUCACUAUAUUAUUAUCAAAGCCUGUUAUCUUGUUGAUGGCUGUUGCAGCCACUCAAUAAAUUGCUUCUUAUCCUUUUUAUUGUUUGAAAU
rnacentral:lncRNA from 1 species